UGGGGAAUAUUGCACAAUGGGCGAAAGCCUGAUGCAGCGACGCCGCGUGCGGGAUGAAGGCCUUCGGGUUGUAAACCGCUUUUAAUUGGGAGCAAGCGAGAGUGAGUGUACCUUUUGAAUAAGCACCGGCUAACUACGUGCCAGCAGCCGCGGUAAUACGUAGGGUGCAAGCGUUAUCCGGAAUUAUUGGGCGUAAAGAGCUCGUAGGCGGUUUGUCACGCCUGGUGUGAAAGUCCAUCGCUUAACGGUGGAUCUGCGCCGGGUACGGGCAGGCUAGAGUGCAGUAGGGGAGAUUGGAAUUCCCGGUGUAACGGUGGAAUGUGUAGAUAUCGGGAAGAACACCAAUGGCGAAGGCAGAUCUCUGGGCUGUUACUGACGCUGAGGAGCGAAAGCAUGGGGAGCGAACAGGAUUAGAUACCCGUGGUA
rnacentral:rRNA from 1 species